AUACGUAGGGGGCGAGCGUUGUCAGGAAUGAUUGGGCGUAAAGGGCGCGUAGGCGGCCCGGUAAGUCUGGAGUGAAAGUCCUGUUUUUAAGAUGGGAAUUGCUUUGGACACUGUCGGGCUUGAGUGCAGGAGAGGUAAGUGGAAUUCCCAGUGUAGCGGUGAAAUGCGUAGAGAUUGGGAGGAACACCAGUGGCGAAGGCGACUUACUGGACUGUAACUGACGCUGAGGUGCGAAAGUGUGGGGAGCAAACAGGAUUAGAUACCCUGGUAGUCCACACUGUAAACGAUGAAUGCUAGGUGUAGGGGGUAUCGACCCCUUCUGUGCCGCAGUCAACACAAUAAGCAUUCCGCCUGGGGAGUACGGCCGCAAGGUUGAAACUCAAAGGAAUUGACGGGG
rnacentral:rRNA from 1 species